UACGGGGGGGGCAAGCGUUGUUCGGAAUUACUGGGCGUAAAGGGCUCGUAGGUGGCCAACUAAGUCAGACGUGAAAUCCCUCGGCUUAACCGGGGAACUGCGUCUGAUACUGGAUGGCUUGAGUUCGGGAGAGGGAUGCGGAAUUCCUGGUGUAGCGGUGAAAUGCGCAGAUAUCAGGAGGAACACCGGUGGCGAAGGCGGGUCUCUGGGCAGUAACUGACGCUGAGGAGCGAAAGCGUGGGGAGCGAACAGG
rnacentral:rRNA from 1 species